UGGGGCGUGGCCAAGUGGUAAGGCAACGGGUUUUGGUCCCGCUAUUCGAAGGUUCGAAUCCUUCCGUCCCAGA
rnacentral:tRNA from 1 species